ensembl:lncRNA
UUAAGAGUCAGAAUUUCUCAAAUAAUUUAAAUGUUAACUUAUAAGAUGACCUAUAAAAGAUGAGGCAACAUAUAAAUCAUCAGCUACCACACCAACUUUUUGUAUAAUUUGUAGUUUGUAAUCAGCCUGUUUCUUCUGUCUAUCUGUUUCCAGAAACUGCAAAGCCUUAUAAGCUCAGAAAGCUUCUUAAGAUGGAGGACAGAAAUGAAUGAGAUUUAGGCACUUCAAGUAAUAUAUACAUUGCAGUCAGAGAAGAUGUGUAGAAAAAAAAAAAAAAAAAAGGCCAGAUGUUGAGCUCUGUGUAGUGACAAUUAGGAUUUUACCUGUGAUCAGACCUCUUAUAUUACAAAGGUAUUCUGAUCUCUGCACUGUAUUAUGGACAGCAGUAGAUUUAACGAAAGAUAUGUAGGUCAUGUAAGUACUUUUGGAAAUUGCUAACCUUGUUCCAGAACUGCAGUUUGGUUUUUUAACCCAAUUUUUUUUUUGUUGUUGUUGUUCCAUUUUUGGUGUUGUAUACAUUUUAUUUCUCUCUUUCAACUGCUCAUGAGAACACCUUUGUCCCACUCCUGCUCACGUUCCCCCAUAUGGGCAUAUUCUCUGGUUCCCUUCCUACCCUUCCCCUUUGAUCAGGCACCCUGAGUACUUCAGUCCUUAGGAAAAUCUCCUGUGGAACUUAUGUGUCAUACAGUGCGUUCCAAACUCAGUAUGUUCAUAAUGCAGCUAAUUAAUUUAUGCAGAAAGUUGUUUUAGUCUUACUACAUGGCUCUGACUGGGCAAAGUAAAUGUGAAGGUCUGAACUAGGUCUUUCUUCUGUUCUACUUCUGAAGCUUCUUGCAUGAAGCUUUCCUGUGACAGCUCAGAGAGAGGGAGAACUGGUGUUGAUUUUCUUUUCUUUUUUUUUUUUUUUUCUUUCUUUAGCCCUGAUACAGUGGUCACUAUCAAAAUUAUAAUUGUUGUCUUUUCAGUUUUCCAGCUGGUGCUGCUUCUUUGAAUACCUGUUUGCACUGGGAGGCCACUAGAUGUGGUUCAGAGGAAGCCUGCCAAAAUUUCAGAACUCUGCAUCUUCUCCUUGAGGGCAGACCACUCUCCUAGUGGCCUCUGGAAGCCUGUAUCGAGAUCAAAACUUUGUAAUUCACUUUGCUACAUGGUGAAAUAAGACGUGUUUUUUCUCUUCCCACUCUCCAGAGUUGCUGUCCUUUACUGCCUUUUAGAGCUCCACCCUGUAGUGAGAAACACGUCUUUGGUGACACGGGUCCGCAAGCAGUCUGCUUCAAAACUGCAGGUUGAUUAAAAAAGAAAAAAAAAACCUACAAUGUUCACACUGCAGGAGUAUCUGUUCUUAAAACCAUUUACAAUAAAGAGGAAACAAAAUAAAAAUAUUGAGAAUGAAGUGGAAAAAUAAAGUAUGUGAUAUGGAGAAGUCAAUUUCGUUAAGAGAUCUGAAGAAAGAGAUGAGAGUAGAAAGGUGAGUAUUUAAAUAUACAAAAUCAAAGCAUAUAAAGAACUACAGAGCCAAAUAGAGGUGAUUUUAAAAAUAAAAUAAAAAUUCUGAUGAGUAAUUUAAAGAGAUUAAAGGCAGAUCUAUCACUCUUCCUGAUAGUGAUUGUUAAACCCUUCUUCUUAUCUAUCUAUCUAUUUAUUUAUUUAUUUAUAAUUGAAGACUUUCUGUGGCAAUACUGUAUUCCCUUUAACCAAAUCUCUAUUCCCUUGGUUACUGAUAGAUCCUGAAACAUCAUUAAAGCUUUCUGUAACUCACAAACUUGUUUCUUACAAGUAGAGUUUCCUCACAAGAAUAGUGGUCUGAAAUUCCUAGAGGAAAUGCUUCAUAUAGUUAAAUGGGCUUUGUGUAUCAAAUAAAAUAAUUUGAGGCUCAGAAAAUCUCUCCCUUAACAAAAUUUCCUCUACUCCUACUUUAUCUGAGGUUUGAAGAAAGCAGUCAGACAAAGCAGUUUUAAACUGGUGAUGGACAAAUGAAAAAUUUUAACAUAAAAAGGAAAAGCAUUUAUUUAUGCCCCAAU